AGAAUGAACGCUGGCGGCAUGCCUAACACAUGCAAGUCGAACGAGACCUUCGGGUCUAGUGGCGCACGGGUGCGUAACGCGUGGGAAUCUGCCCUUGGGUUCGGAAUAACAGUUAGAAAUGACUGCUAAUACCGGAUGAUGACGUAAGUCCAAAGAUUUAUCGCCCAGGGAUGAGCCCGCGUAGGAUUAGCUAGUUGGUGAGGUAAAGGCUCACCAAGGCGACGAUCCUUAGCUGGUCUGAGAGGAUGAUCAGCCACACUGGGACUGAGACACGGCCCAGACUCCUACGGGAGGCAGCAGUGGGGAAUAUUGGACAAUGGGCGAAAGCCUGAUCCAGCAAUGCCGCGUGAGUGAUGAAGGCCUUAGGGUUGUAAAGCUCUUUACCCGGGAUGAUAAUGACAGUACCGGAGAAUAGCUCCGGCUAACUCCGUGCCAGCAGCCGC
rnacentral:rRNA from 1 species